GAACCUUCGAGUUCCCUAAGCCAGGUAGUUAGUUAGUGAUGGACGGAAAACACAGAUGAAUAUGUACGUCCAUCGGAAUCCAUGCAGGGUCACAGACUUCUUCCUCAUGUAAAUUAUUGGCCUUGGAAAUCCACUUGUACCAGGGCCGUAACUGAAACAUGACGUUAGAAGUUUCUUCUCCAAUCACCAUAUUCGUGUUUGUAGCGGGAACCGGAAAACCCUGCUCACGUUACGAAAUAUAAAUUAAAGAAUGCUGGAGCUGCAGGUAUCAUACGAACUGGAGAUUUGUGCGCAUAUUUUAACCUUAAAGUGUACGUGUAAGGAAAAUCCGUGUGUGUACACAGGCCUUGAGAGGCUUUAAGUGGAAGUUUCAGAUAGUUUUGAACUUUCCAAGGUCAGAUACUUGGAGAAACUAAGUGGCAGCACCUGUUCGUCACUCGUUUCCUUAAAGUGAACUACAUCGAUACAUUUUAACCUUAUAAAACUGACGAAAGGAUAAUUGGAUUCCACAAAUAUUCGACUUUGAACUUCUGGACUUGGAUGAACGACGUAAUUACAUCCAAGGACAGCCAAAUGGCCUCUGAUGAGCAGUCCGCUCCCAACGUUAGCAAUAUGUCUGACCUAUGUCUAUCUCGUAAAAGUUUUGGGUCCUAGAAUAAUGGAGAAUAAGAAACCUAUGGAACUGAGGAAUGUGCUGAUUUAUUACAAUUUUUUUCAAGUUUUAUUCAGCUUAUGGCUUUUUUGUGAGGUGAGCAACGUCACACUUGAAGUUUUCUGUGCCUUCUCUCGUCUUACUCAUGUUUAAAAGGUGUUACCAUCUUAUGUACGCGAUUAACUUUCAGACAUUCUUAAUUUUGUGUAAUGAAAUAUUAUGUCAGCGCUCUCACGACUUUUUAUAAAGCAGAAUAGAAAUGCACCUA